rnacentral:rRNA from 1 species
AGAGUUUGAUCAUGGCUCAGGACGAACGCUGGCGGCGUGCCUAACACAUGCAAGUCGAACGGGGUGAGGCCCUUCGGGACCUUACCUAGUGGCGAACGGGUGAGUAACGCGUGAGGAACCUGCCUUUCAGUGGGGGACAACAGUUGGAAACGACUGCUAAUACCGCAUGAAGCUUUUGGGAGACAUCUCCUGGAAGCCAAAGCUUAAUGUGCUGAAAGAUGGCCUCGCGUCUGAUUAGCUAGUUGGUGGGGUAACGGCCCACCAAGGCGACGAUCAGUAGCCGGUCUGAGAGGAUGAACGGCCACAUUGGGACUGAGAUACGGCCCAGACUCCUACGGGAGGCAGCAGUGGGGAAUAUUGGGCAAUGGGCGAAAGCCUGACCCAGCAACGCCGCGUGAAGGAAGAAGGCCUUUGGGUUGUAAACUUCUUUUACCAGGGACGAAGGACGUGACGGUACCUGGAGAAAAAGCAACGGCUAACUACGUGCCAGCAGCCGCGGUAAUACGUAGGUUGCAAGCGUUGUCCGGAUUUACUGGGUGUAAAGGGCGUGUAGGCGGAGAUGCAAGUUAGGAGUGAAAUCUAUGGGCUCAACCCAUAAACUGCUUCUAAAACUGUAUCCCUUGAGUAUCGGAGAGGCAAGCGGAAUUCCUAGUGUAGCGGUGAAAUGCGUAGAUAUUAGGAGGAACACCAGUGGCGAAGGCGGCUUGCUGGACGACAACUGACGCUGAGGCGCGAAGCGUGGGGAGCAAACAGGAUUAGAUACCCUGGUAGUCCACGCUGUAAACGAUGAAUACUAGGUGUGGGGGGACUGACCCCCUCCGUGCCGCAGUUAACACAAUAAGUAUUCCACCUGGGGAGUACGACCGCAAGGUUGAAACUCAAAGGAAUUGACGGGGGCCCGCACAAGCAGUGGAUUAUGUGGUUUAAUUCGACGCAACGCGAAGAACCUUACCAGGACUUGACAUCCAACUAACGAAGUAGAGAUACAUCAGGUGCCCUACGGGGAAAGUUGAGACAGGUGGUGCAUGGUUGUCGUCAGCUCGUGUCGUGAGAUGUUGGGUUAAGUCCCGCAACGAGCGCAACCCCUAUUGUUAGUUGCUACGAAAGAGCACUCUAGCGAGACUGCCGUUGACAAAACGGAGGAAGGCGGGGACGACGUCAAAUCAUCAUGCCCCUUAUGUCCUGGGCUACACACGUAAUACAAUGGUGGCCAACAGAGGGAAGCGAAGCCGUGAGGCAGAGCAAAUCCCUAAAAGCCAUCUCAGUUCGGAUUGCAGGCUGCAACUCGCCUGCAUGAAGCUGGAAUUGCUAGUAAUCGCGGAUCAGCAUGCCGCGGUGAAUACGUCCCCGGGCCUUGUACACACCGCCCGUCACACCAUGAGAGUCGGGAACACCCGAAGUCCGUAGUCUAACCGCAAGGGGGGCGCGGCCGAAGGUGGGUCCGGUAAUUGGGGUGAAGUCGUAACAAGGUA